rnacentral:lncRNA from 1 species
GAUUCUCGUGCCUAGGCCUCCCGAGUAGCUGGGAUUACAGGCACCUGAGAAUGAAUAGAGCUCCUCUGCUCUCUCGUUAGCCCCAUCCCAAAGGCUGAGCCUCUACUGUUUGGGAACUAUCAAGAGAAGACACAGCUAUCAAGCCAGGAGCCCUCAUCGAGCCUCAUUCUCAGCCACAUCGUAAGGAUUUAGAGGCCCUAAGCACUGACGACGCUGUGGUGCCACAAAAAUAGACAAGCAGGGCAUGUGCGCUGAAGCUGGAAGAGGCUUCUUCCAUAUUUUCAUUGCAAAAUCAGAACUUUGACCCGCUUUGCAGAUAACCCUGCAUUUUACCGAGAUGUCAAAGCAGGAAGUGCUUGGCUGGAACAUCUGCCGACAGCCUCAUCUCUUUCUGCAAGAUCAUGAUGUUCUGCAUGCUCCUGUGGCCUCUUAUUUCACGUUGCUCUCCCUGCAAAUUUUGAAACAACUUUAAAGAUGAAUAAAAAGCAGCUCAGCAAGUGAAUCCCAGAUCCCGGUAAGAGAGUGUCUCCCCCAACUCACAUAGUGAGUGCACAUCAUCCCCAGAACCACCAUGAGAGUGAGCCUGGUAGCGGGUAGCACCCUGCCUGUGACGAAGCCAGCACACUAUGACGAGCAGCAGCUUCUAGACCCAUGGACCACGGGCACUGCCAACGCUCUCCCUCCGGGGACUCCUCCUGCCUCCCAUACAGGGCCAAACUCCGACGCCCACGAGCUCGCUCAGAAUUGGCUCAGGCUGCAAUCACUUCUCUUCUCCUACCUCCACACCAUUCCCUGAUGGUGGACAGCUUCUCCUUUGAGAACCACACCUGCCUUUUCAGACAAAAGGAGACACCACCCACCCUCCUGCUGAGGGCUGCUCCCCUGGGGCCUUCUCAGCACACCUCUCUCUCUCUAGGUCAAAAAACAAAUUUCACAUGCUGAAUUUUUACCUUUUUUAAAGUGACUCCGAAUUUUGGCACCAGCAAUUAAUUCAACACUUGAAUAAGAUUUGAAAACCUCACAACAAAUCACAAAUAUAUUAUGGGUCCUGUUGAA